AUGGCUCUGAAGCUCGAUAUGUCAACGGCAUACGACAGAUUGGAACAUUGCAUUUCCUUUAUGUCUUACCAAGUGCUUAUCAAUGGCCAACCUAGUAAGAGUUUUUGUCCUGAAAGAGGGCUUCGCCAAGGCGACUCUCUAUCACCUUACCUUUUUAUUUUGUGUGUUGAUGCCCUUUCAGGUAAGCUAAAGCAGGAGAUUCAUAGUAAGAAGAUUCAUAUUCAAAUUGCAAGGAAAUCCCGGGUGAUUUCUCACCUAUUUUUCACUGAUGAUAGUUUGUUAUUUGCAAGAGCUAAUUAG